rnacentral:sRNA from 1 species
UUUUUGUUACGAGUGAAAUAAUAAUCUACAUAUACAUUUUUGCAGCCAUUUUGUGAAAUAAAUCUUGUAGUUAGGAUACAAUGAUUGCCAUUGGAUUUUAAUAUUUGUUUUUGAUAAUUAGAAAAAAAAUCUUUGAAUUAAAUAUUUGACAUUUAACAAUCUUCAUAAAAUCUCUCGACAUUAACUACACGAUUGGUUACUAAAAUAAAACUUUCAAAAUAUUUAAUAUCAUUUAAUUACUACAAAAUUAUCAUUAUUGAUAUUGUUUUUCUGCAUGACUAUUACAAUUCGAUUAUAAUCAUCAAACCGCAGAGAUAUCUGAUAGCAUUUAGUUACUACAAAAUUACAAAAUAUUUAGACAAUGAUUCAUAAACAUAUGAUAAAUAAAAUAAAUGAGUUUUUUUUACGGGACGGGUUGGCGGGACGGGUUUGGUAGGACGUUACUUAAUAACAAUUCUAAACUAUAAAAUAAAAAUAUUUUAUAGAUAAAUAUAAUUUACAAACUUUUAUAUAUACUAACUUUAAAAUAUAAAUUGUCCCCACGGUAUACCGCGGGUGAAAAUCUAGUUCUUAUACAUAAC